rnacentral:rRNA from 1 species
CGAAAGUUAGAGGUUCGAAGGCGAUCAGAUACCGCCCUAGUUCUAACCAUAAACGAUGCCAACCAGCGAUCCGCCUGAGUUCCUCAAAUGACUCGGCGGGCAGCUUCCGGGAAACCAAAGUGUUUGGGUUCCGGGGGAAGUAUGGUUGCAAAGCUGAAACUUAAAGGAAUUGACGGAAGGGCACCACCAGGAGUGGAGCCUGCGGCUUAAUUUGACUCAACACGGGAAAACUUACCCGGCCCGGACACUGGAAGGAUUGACAGAUUAAGAGCUCUUUCUUGAUUCAGUGGGUGGUGGUGCAUGGCCNUUCUUAGUUGGUGGAGCGAUUUGUCUGGUUAAUUCCGAUAACGAACGAGACUCUAGCCUACUAAAUAGGCGUUCCGAUCCUUUAUGUCGGACGUUCUUCUUAGAGGGACAAGCGGCUUUUAGCCGCACGAGACAGAGCAAUAACAGGUCUGUGAUGCCCUUAGAUGUCCGGGGCCGCACGCGCGCUACACUGAAGGAAUCAGCGUGUGCUUUCCCUGUCUGGUAGGACUGGGUAACCCGUUAAACCUCCUUCGUGAUAGGGAUAGGGGCUUGUAAUUCUUCCCCUUGAACGAGGAAUUCCCAGUAAGCACGAGUCAUAAGCUCGUGUUGAUUACGUCCCUGCCCUUUGUACACACCGCCCGUCGCUACUACCGAUUGAAUGAUUUAGUGAGGUCUUCGGACUGGCGCUCGUAGCGACCAUUGGCCGCGCCGACG